rnacentral:tRNA from 1 species
UUUAACUUGGCAGAUUAAUUGUGUCAAAUUUAGAAUUUGAUUAUGGUAAAACCAGUUAA